rnacentral:rRNA from 1 species
AGAGUUUGAUCCUGGCUCAGAAUCAACGCUGGCGGCGUGCUAACACAUGCAAGUCGCACGAGAAAGUGGAGCAAUCCAUGAGUACAGUGGCGCACGGGUGAGUAACACGUGAAUAAUCUACCUCCGAGUGGGGAAUAACUUAGGGAAACCUGAGCUAAUACCGCAUAACACUUACGAGUCAAAGCAGCAAUGCGCUUGGAGAGGAGUUCGCGGCAGAUUAGUUAGUUGGCGGGGUAAUGGCCCACCAAGACGAUGAUCUGUAUCCGGCCUGAGAGGGCGCACGGACACACUGGAACUGAAACACGGUCCAGACUCCUACGGGAGGCAGCAGUGGGGAAUUUUGCGCAAUGGGGGAAACCCUGACGCAGCAACGCCGCGUGGAGGAUGAAAUCCCUUGGGAUGUAAACUCCUUUCGAUCGGGACGAUUAUGACGGUACCGGAAGAAGAAGCCCCGGCUAACUUCGUGCCAGCAGCCGCGGUAAUACGAGGGGGGCGAGCGUUGUUCGGAAUUAUUGGGCGUAAAGGGUGCGUAGGCGGUUUGAUAAGUCUGAUGUGAAAUCUAUGGGCUCAACCCAUAGCCUGCAUUAGAAACUGUCGGGCUUGAGUAUGGGAGAGGUGAGUGGAAUUUCCGGUGUAGCGGUGAAAUGCGUAGAUAUCGGAAGGAACACCUGUGGCGAAAGCGGCUCACUGGACCAUUACUGACGCUGAUGCACGAAAGCUAGGGGAGCAAACAGGAUUAGAUACCCUAGUAGUCC